rnacentral:misc_RNA from 1 species
UUUCCGUAGGUGAACCUGCGGAGGGAUCAUUAUUGAAACUUCAUCCGGGGCGCCGCGGCCCUCAGCACCGGUGGAAACGCCGUGCUGCGGGGCCGCGCGUGCACUCGUCCAAACCAAACCCCUGUGAACCUUACGGGAUGGCCCGGGUUAGCGCCCGGUGCCGUUCCGCUUUAUACAAACACUUAUCAAAGAAUGAACUGAAGGCGGUCUGACCGCUGGAUAACAAACUGAAACAACUUUCAACAACGGAUCUCUUGGCUCUC